rnacentral:rRNA from 1 species
AUGGGGUUUGAAAAAUGCCCAUUACAUGCUGCACACAAGAAGUUCAGUGGGAAUUCAACUCUGCUGGUUGGGGUGUAUGUGGAUAACCUCAUAUGUACAGGAGGCAGCAGCAAGGAGAUUGCCAAGAUUAAAGAGCAGAUGAAGAAGAAAUUCUGCAUGAGUGACUUGCGCCUGCUAAGCUAUUAUCUCGGGAUCGAGGUAAAACAAACUCAAAUUGCUAUCACCAUUAGCCAGUCAUCUUAUGCAGCUCGGAUUCUGGAGAGGUGCGGUAUGGCAGGUUGUUAUUCAACCAAAGUUCACAAGGAGCCAAGGCAGAAAUUGAGCAAGCAUAGCAAGAAUCCUUCUGUUGAUGCGACAAUGUAUCGUAGCAUUGUUGGUAGCUUGUACUACCUAGUCCAUUCUCGCCCUGAUAUAGCAUACGUAGUUUGGCAUUGUGAGUCGAUUCAUGGAGUCGCCCACAACAGAGUAUAUGGCUUCUGUCAAACAGAUCUUGAGGUAUGUUGA